AGAGUUUGAUCCUGGCUCAGAACGAACGCUGGCGGCAUGCCUAACACAUGCAAGUCGAACGCGAAAGCUCUCUUCGGAGAGUGAUUAGAGUGGCGAACGGGUGAGUAACACGUGGGUAAUCUGCCCUUGUAGUCUGGGAUAACGGUUGGAAACGGCCGCUAAUACCGGAUAAUGUCUUAAUAUCGCAUGGUAUAAAGAUCAAAGAUGGUUUCGGCCAUUGCUAUAGGAUGAGCCCGCGUCCCAUUAGCUAGUUGGUGAGGUAACGGCUCCACCAAGGCUAUGAUGGGUAGCUGGUCUGAGAGGAUGAUCAGUCACACUGGAACUGAGACACGGUCCAGACUCCUACGGGAGGCAGCAGUGGGGAAUAUUGCGCAAUGGACGAAAGUCUGACGCAGCAAUGCCGCGUGGGUGAUGAAGGCUCUAGGGUCGUAAAGCCCUGUCAGAGGGGAAGAACCGGACUAUCAGGAAAUGGGUAGUCUCUGACGGUACCCUCAAAGGAAGCACCGGCUAACUCCGUGCCAGCAGCCGCGGUAAUACGGGGGGUGCGAGCGUUGUUCGGAAUCACUGGGCGUAAAGCGCGUGUAGGUGGAUAAUUAAGUCAGAUGUGAAAGCCCACGGCUCAACUGUGGAACUGCAUUUGAAACUGGUAAUCUAGAGUGCGGGAGAGGGAAGGGGAAUUCCCGGUGUAGAGGUGAAAUUCGUAGAUAUCGGGAGGAAUACCGGUGGCGAAGGCGCCUUCCUGGACCGACACUGACACUGAGACGCGAAAGCGUGGGUAGCAAACAGGAUUAGAUACCCUGGUAGUCCACGCCGUAAACGAUGAGCACUAGGUGUUGCGGGUAUCGACCCCUGCAGUGCCGAAGCAAGCGCAUUAAGUGCUCCGCCUGGGGAGUACGGUCGCAAGAUUAAAACUCAAAGGAAUUGACGGGGGCCCGCACAAGCGGUGGAGUAUGUGGUUUAAUUCGAUGCAACGCGAAGAACCUUACCUGGGUUUGACAUCCUUGGAAUUUAGCAGAGACGUUAAAGUGCCCUUCGGGGAGCCAAGUGACAGGUGCUGCAUGGCUGUCGUCAGCUCGUGUCGUGAGAUGUUGGAUUAAGUCCCGCAACGAGCGCAACCCUCGUCCUUAGUUGCCAUCAUUAAGUUGGGAACUCUAAGGAGACUGCCGGUGUUAAACCGGAGGAAGGUGGGGAUGACGUCAAGUCCUCAUGGCCCUUGACGCCCAGGGCUACACACGUACUACAAUGGUCGGUACAAAGAGUCGCUAGACCGCGAGGUCAUGCUAAUCUCAAAAAACCGGCCUCAGUUCGGAUUGCAGUCUGCAACUCGACUGCAUGAAGUCGGAAUCGCUAGUAAUCGCGUAUCAGCAUGACGCGGUGAAUACGUUCCCGGGCCUUGUACACACCGCCCGUCACACCACGGGAGUCGGUUGGACCUGAAAUCGGUGGGCUAACCUUCGGGGAGCAGCCGCUUAUGGUCUGGUCGGUAACUGGGGUGAAGUCGUAACAAGGUA
rnacentral:rRNA from 1 species